GAUGAAGAACGUAGCGAAAUGCGAUAAGUAAUGUGAAUUGCAGAAUUCAGUGAAUCAUCGAAUCUUUGAACGCACAUUGCGCCCCCUGGUAUUCCGGGGGGCAUGCCUGUUCGAGCGUCAUUUCACCACUCAAGCCUCGCUUGGUAUUGGGCGACGCGGUCCGCCGCGCGCCUCAAAUCGACCGGCUGGGUCUUCCGUCCCCUCAGCGUUGUGGAAACUAUUCGCUAAAGGGUGCCGCGGGAGGUCACGCCGCGAAACAACCCCAUUUCUAAGGUUGACCUCGGAUCAGGUAGGGAUACCCGCUGAACUUAAGCAUAUCAAUAAGCGGAGGA
rnacentral:misc_RNA from 1 species